UUUCAAUGGAUGUUCAACUGUAAAAGGUUAUGGGAGGAGUAUGUUUCCUUUUUAGUCGUGACUUGCAACAUACACCUAGUUUCCUGAAUCGGGUCACACAUGCUGAGCACUUGUUGGCUGCUUUUCCUUCACUCUGAGGUCCAACUCCUCCCAAACCAUCUCAAUUGGGUUGAGGUCUUAGGAAUGUGGAGGCCAGAUCAUCUGAUGCAGCACUCCAUCGCUCUCCUUCUUAGUCAAAUAGCCCUUACACAGCCUGGAGUGGCCUGAGAAGAUCUUUACCUGUGAGAGAGGACUCCUCUGCUAGCAACGCCAGUCAGCUAGCUGUGGGGAUGCAUGACGGCAGAAUUAGCCACCUACAACGUCGAGACCAGAGAGAAGACACCCGUCAUUGACAGCAGACGUAACAAAGCUGGUAGAACUGGAAUCUGUGAAAGUGCUACAGGAAACCUGCGUAUUGACUAUAAAACGCCAACCCUGCACGGGAGGUUCACUGCAUUUUGACUGUGCCCACAAACAUUCUAGCCCAGUUUGGCAGGUGAGGUGGAUAGACCAUGUGAGGGGUCCGUCAGGGGAGGGAGGACAAGGGAGAGACUCUGUAGAUCAGCAGGAUAAGCAAGUGGUUCCUGUGGAAAUGCCUUGACUGCAUAGCUGAAGAGGACGAGGAAUGAGAAAGCCAAUAAGCAAGCUGGAGAAAAAGAGAAGAAGAGCGAGGCAUGAUAUCACGCCAGGCGCCGGGAAUCUGUUUCGACUUCCAUCCUACGGUGAGCAUGUUCUUACGUUUUCCUAAAAGAUAGUUACACAUGCAUUGCUUUAGUUAUUUAGCUAGGCCUUCAA